ensembl:lncRNA FAM27C family with sequence similarity 27 member C
AGUGCUUGGGUGUCGAGGCUCUGAGGCUCCGGCCUCACCUCUCCACGGGGUCGAAGGGAACGUCUCCGGAUGCCAGGAGUCGCAAAGGGCCGACCAUGAUGAUGAAACCCCAGGCAGAGACGGGGGAAGCAGCACGGGAUCCCAGCCUCAGGCCUGCACGGACGGUGUUGGUUGGGAGACGAGGUCUCACUAUAUUGACCAGGCUGGUCUUGAACUCCUGGCCUUAAGCGAUCCUCCUGCCUUGGCCUCCCAAAGUGCUGGAGUUACAGAUGUGAGCCUCUGUGCUCAGUCCAUCCUUGGCUGUUCAAGUGUAGAGAAAUUGCCACUCCCUCUCCAGCCCUCAGCAACCACCACCUCGAUCAGUCACUAGCUAUCAACAUUGAGACAAGACCAUCCAGCAGCAAAAUGAUGAUGACUUACUGAAGGCCCAGAUGAUGGUUAGCAGUUUUUGGCAAUCACGUAUUUUCAAAGUCCAGUGUCUGAUUCUUUUGGGAAGCUGGAUAUGAAGUCAGAAUCUUUCUUUGAGUCAUACAUUUUCAUGAUUAUGAUUAUUAUUGAAUGAUAGCUGACAAUUAUUGAGAGCAAUUAUUGAGGACAAUUAUUGAGCUUUCACAAGCCCUUUUCAAAGGAACCCUGGCCAUGGGAGCUAUCUCAGCCUAAUGCUCUCCCAUUACAAAAUUUUACACCUUCUUUCUGUAUCAGGAGUUUGACUCUUUUUUGUCAACACUUUGAGCAUCCCCUUGACUGUGCUGUAACUGGAGAUGGACACCCGCUCGCCCCUCAAGGACCGCAUCGCUCUCCAGCACUCCUCCUCUUCUUAUAACUUUUGCCUAGUCCUAGAAUAUGUUGCCUCUUCUCAAAAAUAAGGUACCACAAAGCCUCUGGUGACGGUGGAGCAAAGGAAUAGAUGGUGAAUGUCUCAUACCCACUUCGGAUCCAGAACAGGCCUAGGAGAGACUCAGGUGAUGUAAAAUUCUCAAACAAUGAGAUAGAUAAAAAGUACGCAGCCAAAAAGUUCAAGAAGAAGUGUUAUGGAGAUGGAGCAGGCCCUUCGUAAAAACACGAUGUUGGUUUUCUGGAUUUUGUAUGUUUGCUUUUUUUUUUCCUCAUCCUAAAGAAAUAUUCACUGUCAUACCUAA